GAUGAACGCUGGCGGCGUGCCUAAUACAUGCCAGUCGAGCGAACGGACGAGAAGCUUGCUUCUCUGAUGUUAGCGGCGGACGGGUGAGUAACACGUGGAUAACCUACCUAUAAGACUGGGAUAACUUCGGGAAACCGGAGCUAAUACCGGAUAAUAUUUUGAACCGCAUGGUUCAAAAGUGAAAGACGGUCUUGCUGUCACUUAUAGAUGGAUCCGCGCUGCAUUAGCUAGUUGGUAAGGUAGCGGCUUACCAAGGCAACGAUGCAUAGCCGACCUGAGAGGGUGAUCGGCCACACUAGAACUGAGACACGGUCCAGACUCCUACGGGAGGCAGCAGUAGGGAAUCUUCCGCAAUGGGCGAAAGCCUGACGGAGCAACGCCGCGUGAGUGAUGAAGGUCUUCGGAUCGUAAAACUCUGUUAUUAGGGAAGAACAUAUGUGUAAGUAACUGUGCACAUCUUGACGGUACCUAAUCAGAAAGCCACGGCUAACUACGUG
rnacentral:rRNA from 1 species